GAUGAAGAACGUAGCGAAAUGCGAUAAGUAAUGUGAAUUGCAGAAUUCAUUGAAUCAUCGAAUCUUUGAACGCACAUUGCGCCCGCCAGUAUUCUGGCGGGCAUGCCUGUUCGAGCGUCAUUUCAACCAUCAAGCCCCAGGCUUGUGUUGGGGACCUGCGGCUGCCGCAGGCCCUGAAAACCAGUGGCGGGCUCGCUGUCACACCGGGCGUAGUAGAUUUUAUCUCGCUCAGGGCGUGCUGCGGGUUCCGGCCGUUAAAAAGCCUUUUUUACCCAAGGUUGACCUCGGAUCAGGUAGGAAGACCCGCUGAACUUAAGCAUAUCAAUAAGCGGAGGA
rnacentral:misc_RNA from 1 species